rnacentral:rRNA from 1 species
AUUGAACGCUGGCGGCAUGCCUUACACAUGCAAGUCGAACGGCAGCACGGGUGCUUGCACCUGGUGGCGAGUGGCGAACGGGUGAGUAAUACAUCGGAACAUGUCCUGUAGUGGGGGAUAGCCCGGCGGAAGCCGGAUUAAUACCGCAUACGAUCUACGGAUGAAAGCGGGGGACCUUCGGGCCUCGCGCUAUAGGGUUGGCCGAUGGCUGAUUAGCUAGUUGGUGGGGUAAAGGCCUACCAAGGCGACGAUCAGUAGCUGGUCUGAGAGGACGACCAGCCACACUGGGACUGAGACACGGCCCAGACUCCUACGGGAGGCAGCAGUGGGGAAUUUUGGACAAUGGGCGAAAGCCUGAUCCAGCAAUGCCGCGUGUGUGAAGAAGGCCUUCGGGUUGUAAAGCACUUUUGUCCGGAAAGAAAUCCUUGGCCCUAAUACGGUCGGGGGAUGACGGUACCGGAAGAAUAAGCACCGGCUAACUACGUG